UACGUAGGGGGCGAGCGUUGUCCGGAUUUAUUGGGCGUAAAGAGCUCGUAGGCGGUUUGGCAAGUCGGGUGUGAAAACUCCGGGCUCAACUCGGAGACGCCACUCGAUACUGCCAUGACUUGAGUCCGGUAGGGGAGUGUGGAAUUCCUGGUGUAGCGGUGAAAUGCGCAGAUAUCAGGAGGAACACCGGUGGCGAAGGCGGCACUCUGGGCCGGUACUGACGCUGAGGAGCGAAAGCGUGGGGAGCGAACAGG
rnacentral:rRNA from 1 species